rnacentral:rRNA from 1 species
AUGAACGCUGGCGGCGUGCCUAAUACAUGCAAGUCGAGCGAACAGAUGAGGAGCUUGCUCCUCUGACGUUAGCGGCGGACGGGUGAGUAACACGUGGAUAACCUACCUAUAAGACUGGGAUAACUUCGGGAAACCGGAGCUAAUACCGGAUAAUAUAUUGAACCGCAUGGUUCAAUAGUGAAAGACGGUUUUGCUGUCACUUAUAGAUGGAUCCGCGCCGCAUUAGCUAGUUGGUAAGGUAACGGCUUACCAAGGCGACGAUGCGUAGCCGACCUGAGAGGGUGAUCGGCCACACUGGAACUGAGACACGGUCCAGACUCCUUCGGGAGGCAGCAGUAGGGAAUCUUCCGCAAAGGGCGAAAGCCUGACGGAGCAACGCCGCGUGAGUGAUGAAGGUCUUCGGAUCGUAAAACUCUGUUAUUAGGGAAGAACAAAUGUGUAAGUAACUAUGCACGUCUUGACGGUACCUAAUCAGAAAGCCACGGCUAACUACGUG